GCGGGCGUGGCGAAACUGGUAGACGCGCUGGAUUUAGGUUCCAGUGGAGCAAUCCAUAGGAGUUCAAGUCUCCUCGCCCGCACCA
rnacentral:tRNA from 1 species